rnacentral:rRNA from 1 species
AUUGAACGCUGGCGGCAGGCUUAACACAUGCAAGUCGAGCGAGCGGCGGACGGGUGAGUAAUGUCUGGGACACUGCCUGAUGGAGGGGGAUAACUACUGGAAACGGUAGCUAAUACCGCAUACCAUCAGAUGUGCCCAGAUGGGAUUGGCUAGUGGGUGGGGUAAUGGCUCACCUAGGCGACGAUCCCUAGCUGGUCUGAGAGGAUGACAGUCAACACUGGAACUGAGACACGGUCCAGACUCCUACGGGAGGCAGCAGUGGGGAAUAGUGACCAAUGGGCGCAAGCCGGAGGCAGCCAUGCCGCGUGUGUGAAGAAGGCCUUCGGGUUGGAAAGUACUUGCAGCGGGGAGGCGUUACUCGCAGAAGAAGCACCGGCUAACUCCGUGCCAGCAGCCGCGGUAAUUC